GACGAACGCUGGCGGCAGGCUUAACACAUGCAAGUCGAGCGCCCAGCAAGGGGAGCGGCAGAUGGGUGAGUAACGCGUGGGAACGUACCCUUAUCUUCUGGAUAGCUCCGGGAAACUGGAAUUAAUACCGCAUGUGCCCUUUGGGAGUAAGAUUUAUCGGAUACGGAUCGGCCCGCGUUGGAUUGGUUAGUUGUUUGGGUACAGGGCUACCACGGCGACGUUGCAUACCUGGUCUGAGAGUAUGAUCAGCCACAUUGGGGCUGGGACACGGCCCACACUCCUACGGGAGGCAGCAGUGGGGAAUAUUGGACAAUGGGCGCAAGCCUGAUGCAGCCCUGCCGCGUGAGUGCUGAAGGCCUUAGGGUUGUAAAGCUCUUUCACCUGUGAAGAUAAUGACGGUAUCCGGAGAAGAAGCCCCGGCUAACUUCGUG
rnacentral:rRNA from 1 species